rnacentral:rRNA from 1 species
UACGUAGGGGGCAAGCGUUAUCCGGAAUUACUGGGCGUAAAGGGUGCGUAGGUGGUUUCUUAAGUCAGAGGUGAAAGGCUACGGCUCAACCGUAGUAAGCCUUUGAAACUGGGAAACUUGAGUGCAGGAGAGGAGAGUGGAAUUCCUAGUGUAGCGGUGAAAUGCGUAGAUAUUAGGAGGAACACCAGUUGCGAAGGCGGCUCUCUGGACUGUAACUGACACUGAGGCACGAAAGCGUGGGGAGCAAACAGG